GUUUCAAUUCACAUAUAUUGUGAUAACAGACAAUAAAUACAUCGAACACAUUAAACAUAGAAUUGAAAACUGCUGUCCUGUAAUAUUUAUUUAGUUUAUAAAUGUAUUUCUUGGCUGUGCAGGCAAAUACACGUACGAUAAAAGUUUCCUGCCAAUUUAUUUUUAGACAGAUGAAAUACUGAAGCAAGGCUUUUCUUUGUGAGUCAUCGCGUGACUUACAAAAUGAUUAAUGAAACAUUAAGAAGCUAAACAAAACACUCUGUUACAUUUAAUAUUGAAAUAUGUUACCAUCGACUGUUCAGUAUAAAUUAACAAAUAGAACCUACUCCAAGAUUAAAUGUUAAGAUUACUUUUCAAAAGUCAUUAAAUUAAUUCAAUGUAAGAUGAAAUUGUUUCUACCUGAUAACCAUGUUCCAAUUCAGUGUAAGACAUGUCAGAACAGGUUUCAUUGAGGAAAUAAAAGUUUCAGCUUGGAUUCAGAUAAUUCACUGCGACCUGAAACAAUUAAAUGCAUCAACGCCACUGUCGGUUUGUAAUUACAAUACCAACAACUCGAAUGACUGCUUAUCGUACUAGCGAACUGCGGACUUUCUGCAUUUAUGAGGAAAUUGAAUGCACAAAAAAUAUAAAUAUCGCAAGUAACUCAUAAAAAUAUAUAAAGUGUCAA